GCCGGGCACGGUGGCAUGUGCCUGUAGUCCCAGCUACUCAAGAGGCUGAGGUGGGAGGAUCACUUGAGCCCAGGAGUUCUGGGCUGUAGUGCGCUAUGCCAAUCGGGUGUCUGCACUAAGUUCAGCAUCAAUAUGGUGACCCGGGAGCGGCGGACCACCAGGUUGUCUAAUGAGGGGUGAACCAGCCCAGGUUGGAAACGGAGCAGGUCAAAACUCCCGUGCUUAUCAGUAGUGGGAUCACAUCUGUGAAUAGCCACUGCACUCCAGCCUGGGCAACAUAGUGAGACCCUAUCUUU
rnacentral:SRP_RNA from 1 species